UUAUAUCUUCAACAGUAACAAAAGAUAACUACCUCAAAAAGGAUUUCCAAACAAACAGGAUUCCCUAAAGCUACUCAAAAGACAAAGAUCCUUGACCUCUUAAGCAGAAAGGCCUAUUUCUAGGUGUUUCUAACUGCACAUAGCCAACUAUCAAGCCAUAUUUACUAAAUAUGAGUGAGCUUGGAUAGAAUAUCCCCAUUCAUUAACAAGCUUCCAGGGGAAAUGAGGGUUGGCCUGGAAGCCAUCAUUUUGGCAGGACUAGUAAGUAGCUAGAACUGCCCUCCAAGCAGUCCUUGGAAAACUGAUACAGCACUCUAUUCAAUAGCCACAUCCACCACCAUGAGGAGGGCAGCUUUGUUACAUCUGUUCAAUCGAACAACCACUGAAGAUCACCCUUCUGAGGGCCAGACCUAUGGACUUCUUGUACAGAUAAACUAUUAUAUAACUUGAGUAUAGGCAACAGUGGGGGUGCUGGGUAUUGCUACAGUUCCCAAGAGGAGAAAACCAUUUAGAUACUAGGGCCAUUUCUGACAGAACUUCUAUCAGCAACAGACACCUGUUGAUUACUCCUCUAAUUAGUCUUGGUGUUUCUGGAAGAGAGCCCCAUCCCUCUCUGCCAUCCAGAGGUUUGAUAUUCAAGUCAAGAGCUAUGUGCCAAUCCCCACCAUCCUUCUCCCAAUCCAACUUUUUUCAGGCACAGGCUACGAUUACCUCAGAACAAUGGAGAUUUAUUACCAGAGCCUGCUCUCCACCCCACUUUGCUGUCCCUCUUCACAGAUCCAUCUCAUGAAACAACUCAGGGAAGAAGUGGAUUUCUUACGUUAAUUAAGAACCACAGUAGUACUACCUCAGGACUUCAGAGGGAGGGGUUUCUAUGUUUGCUAAUUCCUUAUAUUCCAAAGAGAGAGGAAAUGAGUUUACUGGACUUGAGAUGACUAAAGUUUAUUGUAAUUCAUAUUGAUUAGCAACACUAGCCUCCAUCAAUUCUCUAGAAGUUUAGCAUUCGUUUAACGGCUCUCAAUCUUCAGGACACAUUUACAGUGAGCUACAACCACUACCCAUACAGAGUACCCUUUCAGCUUGUCUACCGUCCUGCCAAGAGUAUUCACAAAGUACCUGGCAGUAGUGGCUACCCACCUGAGAUGGCAAGGAAUAUGUAAUUUACUUGCAAUUGGAUGAAUGGCUUCUGAGAGGGGAAUCCCCCAAGGAUGCUUCCAGAACCUUAUCCACAUUCCUUUGGACUUGGGGAUGGAGCCACAGUCCAGGGUCCUGACAAAAACAGUGCUGCACUGUAUUCUAUUUUAUGAAGAGGCAACAGGGUGCUUUUUCCCUCCCCUCUGUCAGGAAGGAAUCAAGCUGUUGAAAUGGUGCUAUCUUCUUGGUGUAACUCCCAUAGCCCUUCACCUACUAGGAACAAAAUUAUCUAGCACAGAGAUUCUCAACCUUUUUUGAAUUAUGUCUCACCUAAGCUGCUUUAAAAAAAAACUGGAUCAACCUUCCUACAAUAGUGCCAACUUGCAAUGCCCUUUUCACUCAAAUUUGGCAUGGCUCGCCCUGCCUUCCUGGAAAGACCCCCAGGUUGAGAAUCCCUCAUCUAUCAGAUUUCCUCAGCAGACAGUAGUUAGCCAACCAGGAGUUAGGAACUCCAUUCUCAUACCUAAAUUCUGCAGAUGGGGUUACCCCAUGAUUGACACCACCACAUGCCUACUCUAUUCUGCCCCAACGCAGGCACCUGCCCAGGAUCCUUCGCUCCUUUCCUGAUCUCAAAUUCUUCUCUCUGCAUUUCCUCCUAUCCCUGGAUAACAAUAGCAUAAGGAAGAUAAGACUGGAUUAUUUGUAUUACUGUAGCACAUAGGAGCCCCAGUCACUGACCAGGACACGAUUGUGCUAGGUGCUGAACGCACAUCACAGAAAGACAGUCCCUGCCUCAAAAAGCUUACAGUUUAAGACAGAAGACAUCCAAUAGGCAAGUACAAGGAAACAAUUCAUAAUUUCAUGUAGUCCAAGGCCAGAAGGGACCAUUGUGGUAGUCUAAUCUGACCUCCUGUAUAACUCAGGCCAUGAACAUCCCCCAAAAAUUCCUAGAGUGCAUCUUUUAGAAAAGCAUCCAAUCUUGAUUUAAAAAUUGUCAGUGGUGGAGAAUUCACCAUGACUCUUGAAGUCAUUCCAGGAUUAUUCUCACAGUGUGGCAAUACUGUCUAAAUAGACAAACAGAGCCAGGAGGAGAGAAGGCAUAAAAUACACAAGCGAAGUGAACAAUGUGAUGGUGCUAAACAUGUUAGUUCCACAAUUUUUAAAUUUAUUUUGAGUGGGUUUGCUUAUGAGGGGAUCAGCUAAAUCGGUAGGGGAACAAAGGGGUUGUUUCAUUUGCAAAGAGUCUGUACCUUGCUUCAUGUAGUACAAGUCUGAACAUGAAUGCAUUUAAUAUCCAUGUAUAAUCAGAUCCCACUGUAGAUGUUCUUUCAACUGCUGUUGUGCAAACAGUUGUAUGAAAAGGCUACCGGCAUCCUCGGGCACAUAAUAUUGGUUGCAAUCUGUAACUCAGUGUUCUGCUACUCAACUAAACUACACACUGAUCUCUAAGCACUACUGCCAAUAUAAUAUUUAUUAAUAAUAAUAAUAAUAAUAAUGGACAAACCGUAAAAGAAUGCAGGUCUAUAGCAACUGUGAGUGCAAAGAAAACCAAAAUAUGAAUUGCACACAAAGUGAUGCAGUAAUGUCUGCCUGAGCCUGCAGGAAACAAAUAAUGCAACAGAGAAGUGGGAUCUCAAUCGGGUGUUUGUAGGUGAUAAUUUAAGUGGCAAUCUUAACUAGUUCAUCACUGAUCAUUUUAACAAAAUGAUACAAGUGUUCACUAUUGUUGGACAUUACUGGCAUAUCAAGGUGAGAGGGAGUGCAGCUAAUUGGUGUCAAGGGUUAACAGGGCAUGGAACAAGAUUCAAACCUCCAUUCACACUCUUCCCCCAGCACAUUCCAAAUUCAGAGCUAAUCUCUGUUGUUGCCUAACAGAUUGCUCCUCUCCACCUCAGAACCAAAGCCCUUGAUUGCUUGCUGGAUAGCAAAUUCACUGCCAUUAUUGCAUCUUUUCUGGGGGGCUAGUUCCCAACUGUGGAAACUUCAGCUUUUACCCAGACAACUUCUACAAUUUCAAUUACUGGUCAAACAAAAGUACCAACACACUGAAUGCUUAUCAACAUACAUAAAAAACGGGAAACCAACUGGGUGGGAGAGAGCAGGCCAUGGUCCUGCCUCAUAAAUUAUAUAGCAGAAAGCUGGAAUUAAGUAAAAUAUGCAAAGAUCUUGAACAUAAAGCAGCCCCCUUUCAAAUGAAGGGUGGGUGCAGUAAAGAACCACCACAUCAUAGUAAAAAGCCAGUGACCUUAAGGUCUCAUGAGUAAUUUAAUGCAAAUGCAUGAGUAAUUGCUAUGAUUAAUGUUCUUCAGAUUUAACUCUCUAGGAAGGAGUUAAGCUGGCCAUCCACAAUUGUAAAACUGGAGCUGUUCACUGCACUCCAGUAACUGAGCCCCUUCAGUAGUUUGCAAUUAAACAUGAAUUCUGUGGCUACAUACCACAAAAAAUGUAAUUCUGGAGUGCGCUUUUCUGAAGAAAGUUGCUUAAAAGAAUAAUGGCAAAGAUCUGUUUAUUUAAUGACAGAAAUAACCAGAACUUUAUACAUCUAACACACCAAAACAGCAGAAUGUACAAACCAAAGACGUUUAAUUCACUAUGUCCAGGAAUUCAGUAGGAAUACUUCAGAAAUAGACUGAGUUUCUCAUGAGUUUUUAUAAACAAAAAAUCUAGCUUCAACAAUCUUAAAUGCUCAUGUUCAUGGCCUGAUUUCACAUAAAUUGUGGUAGGGUAGUAACCUCUCAAACUAGUAAUUUAAGAGGUGUACUUAAAUAAAGGCAACCUCACAAAUCCAGGAACAGCAAGGUUAAAUGAUACUCCCCUACUUACUGUAUGCCAUUCUGAAAAAAAUUAAGGCACAACUGUACAUGUUAAGGAAGAGAUGCCGUAGCUUUUAAUUUUCAUAUUGCUGGCUUGAUUUUUUGUUUAUCUAACAACCUUUCUGCAAUUUUAUUGAGUGGCAGGUCAUAAAGCCAAUUAAACAUAUUUUUGUUCUUA